rnacentral:rRNA from 1 species
ACGCUGGCGGCGCGCCUAAUACAUGCAAGUCGAACGGCUUUUCUAUGGAAGCUUGCUUCCACUGAGAAGAUAGUGGCGAACGGGUGAGUAACACGUGGGUAACCUGCCCAUAAGAGGGGGAUAACAUCCGGAAACGGGUGCUAAUACCGCAUAGUUUUCUUGAUCGCAUGAUCGGGAAAGGAAAGACGGCCUUUGUGCUGUCGCUUAUGGAUGGACCCGCGGCGUAUUAGUUAGUUGGUGAGGUAACGGCUCACCAAGACGAUGAUACGUAGCCGACCUGAGAGGGUGAUCGGCCACAUUGGGACUGAGACACGGCCCAAACUCCUACGGGAGGCAGCAGUAGGGAAUCUUCCGCAAUGGACGAAAGUCUGACGGAGCAACGCCGCGUGAGUGAAAGAAGGUUUUCGGAUCGUAAAACUCUGUUGUCAGAGAAGAACAAGUUGGAGAGUAACUGCUCCAGCCUUGACGGUAUCUGACCAGAAAGCCACGGCUAACUACGUGCCAGCCGCCGC